CACGUAGGGCGCAAGCGUUGUCCGGAAUUAUUGGGCGUAAAGAGCUCGUAGGCGGUCUGUCGCGUCGGCUGUGAAAACCCGAGGCUCAACCUCGGGCCUGCAGUCGAUACGGGCAGACUAGAGUGUGGUAGGGGAGACUGGAAUUCCUGGUGUAGCGGUGAAAUGCGCAGAUAUCAGGAGGGAACACCGGCGGGCGAAGGCGGGUCUCU
rnacentral:rRNA from 1 species